rnacentral:lncRNA from 1 species
UUCUUCUUCUUCUUCUUCUUCUUCUUCUUUUUAGUUUCAAUUAUUGAUAAUGAUUUUCUUUUAUUACUUUGCAGAAGAAACUCGAUGAAGACGAAGCACCAAGAAGCUUCCAGAACGUAGCUUUAGUGGUUGGCGUAACCGGCAUCGUCGGCAACAGUUUGGCCGAAAUUCUACCUUUAGCAGACACACCAGGCGGUAGAUGGAAGGUUUACGGCGUUGCCCGCCGUUCACGACCUUCCUGGAACGCAGAUCAUCCUGUGGAAUACAUCCAAUGCGACAUCACCGAUCCAAACGACGCCACCACCAAACUCUCCGUCCUCACUGACGUUACACAUGUCUUCUACGUCUGUUGGGCCAGCCGUCCCACCGAAGCUGAAAACUGUGAAAUCAACGGCGCUAUGCUCAAAAACGUCCUCACUGCAGUCAUUCCAAACGCUCCCAAUCUCCGUCAUGUGUCAAUUCAAACCGGCGGUAAGCACUAUGUAGGACCCUUUGAAUCAUUCGGCAAGAUCAAGUACCAUGAACCACCAUACACAGAGGAUAUGCCGCGUUUGGAUUAUCAUAAUUUCUAUUAUACACUUGAAGAUGUUUUGUUUGAAGAAACAGGGAAGAAAGAAGGCGUGAGUUGGUCUGUUCAUAGGCCACUUCUCAUCUUUGGAUUUUCACCUUACAGUAUGAUGAAUAUCAUUGGAACUAUUUGUGUUUACGCUGCAAUUUGUAAGCAUGAGGGUGUUCCGUUGAGAUUUCCAGGGACUAAGUUAGCUUGGGAGAAUUACUACAUGGCUUCUGAUGCUGAUUUGAUUGCUGAGCAACAUAUUUGGGCUGCAGUGGAUCCUUAUGCUAAGAAUGAAGCAUUCAAUUGUAGUAAUGGUGAUGUUUUUAGGUGGAAGCAAUUGUGGAAGGUUAUCGCGGAACAAUUUGGGAUUGAGGAGUAUGGGUUCGACGAGGAAGGUCCUCGUUUGAAGUUAACGGAGUUGAUGAAGGAUAAGGGUCCUGUUUGGGAUGAGAUUGUGAAGGAGAAUGGGUUGCAGGUGACGAAGCUGGAAGAAGUUGCUGAGUGGUGGUUUGCAGAUGCUUGUUUUGGAGGGAAUGGGUUUACAGAUAGCAUGAACAAAUCGAAAGAGCACGGAUUUUUGGGAUUCAGGAACACCAAGAAUUCGCUUAUCAAUUGGAUUGAUAGGACUAGAGCUUACAAGAUUGUGCCAUGAGUGAGUGAAAUCAAAUUUGAUCCAACUUAUUAUCGUUCUACUUUCAUCAGUUAGUUUGUUUUCUUUAUUUAUCAUCUAGAAUAAGUAAGAUUCGAGGGAGAAUUGUGAUUUAAUAAAAUGAGAUUGUCUAUCAUUUAUGUUGUGAGUUCUGUUUUUUCUGCUGUACUAAUAAUGUUGUUGUACUGGGAGAUCAACUCUGUUUUUAUGAAUUUUUGACUCAGCUAUCCAGUUUCAUUACAUUAGAAUGGGGUUGUUGUUUGCAAGAUAAUAGUCUCAGGAGAAAAGUUCAGAUUGAAUGUCUAUUAUGGUUAAUAUUUUUGACAACAAAUUAUUAUGUUCUUAAGAACUUGUAAACUGAUUUGGUUAGAUAAGCUGGUUUAGGUUUUGUGUCACACGAGUCGUGUGUAGUUGCAGCUUUGAGUACGUACGCUCAUGGUACAGUCUAACUGUCUAGUGAUGGAGUAAUAAUUUAAAGGAUUAAAUUGAUAGUAAUGUUUACAUGAAAAAUAAUGUUUUGAUGAUGGUGGUGUGUAACUCAAGAUGAGGUAGUACCUUCGUCCCACAAUACAUGACAGACACAGUUGACCGUGUUACGCAUGACAAUGCAUAAUUUUGAGUUUAAAUAUCUUGAAUAGUAUAUUAGAAAAAAUUAUGAAAAUUUAAUAUUUUUAAAAUACUCAUCGAGAUGAAUCUAACGACAUCUUAUAUGAUAUUAUUUAUCUUUAUAUAUUAGUAGAAAAAUAUGAUCAAAGUAAAUUAGAUCAAAAUUGCACAUCUUCAAAUGGGUCAUAUAUUGCGGAACAGGAGUAAUACAAAUGGAUGCCACAACGGCUAAACCAAUUAGAGGCAGAAUACCAAGACCACAUACACAUUCUAUCAAAUUCAAAGUUUACAUUCCUACAAGCUACCACCACUUGGUACUUGGUAUGGUAGUGCUCUGUUUCAAGACAAGUCAACCACUAGUAAUGGUCUGUGCUAAUUCCCACUUUCAAAAAGUGAAAAAGACAUGUGUUAAGUGUGUAAAACAUGGGGUGACUCUUAGAGCUGUCAAAUGGGUCAGUCCGGCCAAAACCGCUUCGGUUCGGUGGGCCAGCUCAUAUAAAUGGGUCAGAGUGGGUCGGCCCACUUGAUAAAUGGACUUUCAAAAUUGAGCCCAGUCUAAUUAGUGGUGGGCUACACGGCCCGUGAGCCAACCCAGUCCAUAUUUCAAAAUGUAUUAUUUUAUUUUUUUCAAAAAAAAAUCGACGCAAUGAACAACAAAGCUACAUAUGACAUUUUUUUUAAUAGAAAUAUUACAUAAAUUAUUAUACAUCAAAUAAAUCACAUGUCAUCGUAAACUUUGUUAAAUAAUAUAAAAAAGAUCUAUUAAAUCAAGAUCUAUAAAGAUAAAUAACACAAAAGAAUCAAUGCAAAAGUAAAGUAUUUAUCACGGUUCACAAAGUGAACCUCGAAGACAACAAAAUCCAAUAUUACAUAAUAAAAUAAUUCAGUGUUACUUAAUAAAACUAUUUUAUAUAGUAUUUAUUGUUCUUAAAGAGCUGGCCCGCAAGCCCAGUGGCCCCGCCCAGGCCGACCUUGUAAAACACAGGCUCGAUGGGUUGGCCCAAAAAGGCAGGGUCGUUCUUUUCAUACUUUUUUUACGGCCCGACCCACACUAAAAUAGAGGGCCAGAGGGCCAGCCCGGUGGGCCUGUGCCAUUUUGACAGCUCUAGUGACUCUAGGAACUCCGGAUGAUAUAUGUAUAUAUAUUUUUUUAAAAUUAGUUGAUUGGUUAGAAAUUCAAUUUUAAGCUGAAUAAGUGAAGUGUUUGAGUACUUUAACUUGUACAUAUAUUAUGCAAUGUUUUUUUUUUUAUCAAUUUCGAUGAUAUUUAUUCAAUCUAGAAAUAUUUUUUUUGAAAUUUAAAACAUAAAAACAGAUUAAAUAUUUUUCGGUACCUAAAAAAUCACGAAUUGUUAAGUUUAGUCCAUAUAAAAAAUUAAUGUUAAUUUAGGCCUCAAUAAUAUUGUAUUUUAUUUAAAUCAGUCACCAUUAUGAUUUUUUUAAAAGAAUACAUAAAUUUAAUCCUCAAAAAAGUCCUAACAAAAUAUUGAUAUGGUUUAAAGGUGAAUAAAUUUUACUGGAAGACUGAACUUAAAAGCUCACGUAAAGACUAGAAUUGGAGUAUUUAUCACCAUAAAAAAGUAGGAUCAAAUGUACUCUUUGACCUUUCAAGUCUUUGUCAUUGUACGAUUUUGACAUCAUUUUUUUGAAGUUUUGACUCCCAAUAUGUUUUUUCCUCUGAAAUUUACCGUAAAGCGAAACCAUUUAACAGGGUGACACUCAAUAAAGGAAGGGGCGGUUAAAUGUGGCAAAACCCCCCCUAAUUUUAUGACUCGGGACUCGAGUUAACUGUUAGGUGCUAUGCUUCGUAUAUCCAAGGGUUGUUAAGCAUUUGUGCUAGUUGUCGUGCGUAUGAUUGUCGUGCAAACAAUCAUUUCUCAUAUAUUUGUUGAAAAUAUUCUAAAAUCAGCAGAUUGUCUAUCUAAUUCAAAAAUUUUCACUCAUUUUAAUUUUCUGUUUUUGUUUAUAUUCAUUCCCGUAUUAGGAAAAUAGAGCUUGGCAAUGAUAAAACAAAACCUAACAUAAUAAUAUGUCGUGAAUUCAAUAAGAAUAGUGGGCUUGUUAGAAGAAGAAAAAAGAAGAACAAAUAAUAAUGACAACAAAUAAAAAUUCAACUUAGAACGAAUUUAGAACCAAUCUGCAAAGCAAAUCAAACAGUAAAACCAAAUAAGAGAGAUAGAGAGUAGAGAAUAACAUUGUGAUUGUUUAAAAUAUAUGGUGAAUAACACAAUCAUAUCUAUCUAAUUUGGUUGGGUAUGUACCCUCUUUUAUAUUCAAUUUAAAUAUAAUGUUUAAUCCAUCAAAAUUGAAAUUAGGUGGUAAAAAAUAAGAACAAAAUAACUUUUUUUUUUAUCCAAUUAAGGGAGGAGGGCGGAAUUGAAAUUAGGUGGUAAGGAUAUUCACAAUGGUGGGUACUUCACCUAUUUAACAGCAUACUAAACAGGCACCUCUAUUGUGGAGUAUAAUAUUUGGGUGCUUAUGGAGAAUGAUGGCUAUGAAAACACCAUCUCUCUUCACCUCAUUUAAUAAAUCAUAAUGAAAUAAAUAAAUUUUGGUUGAAAUGUAAUGAUAUAUAAUUACUUCUGGGACCUAUUUAGUAAUUUCAUUUGAGGUGAUGGGUUGAAGAAAAUGAUGCUUAUUAAGUACUCCAUCUGUCUUUAAAUAUAAGCAAAAUUAACUUUUUAGGUUCAUUCAUUUAAUGAUGUAUGUGAUCCAUAUUAUGAACCACAUACAUCAUUAAAUAAAUGAACCUAAAAAGUAAAUUUUGCUUAUAUUUUAAAACGGAACGGGUAGUAUUAUUGUAAAAUGAAGGGUUAAAUAUGUUUUUAGUUCCUAAAUUUUACGCUAUUUUGAUAAAUAGUCCCUACAUUUAAGUAAAUGUUUUUAAAAUCACUAUAUUUUACUCCCGUUAACAAAUUUAGUCCCUGACGUUAAUUUCCAAAGGGAAUGCUGACAUGGCAUCAAGUGGCCCCCAAUUAGUUUGUGAUGUGGCCAAAAUAACAGAGACACGUGGAUGUAUAUGUGGCAGCAAUGGUCCCACAAUUAAAUGAAUAUAAAUUAAACCAUGUUUAGUGUUAAAUUGUAGUUAUGAAAAAGAUUAACUCCAUACAUUAACUUAACUCCAUACAACAACCCUAUCACUACCCAACUCAUCUAAUGCCAUUUUCUUACAACCUAAACAAACAACUUUUCUACAAAACACAGGUUGAUAAACACCAACACAAAUAGCAGAAAAUUCAUAAAUUUCCCUUUCAUCUUUUCAGCACUUAACUUCUUUGAAAGCCUUGCACUUUUUUUAUAGUUUCUUCAAUUAACUCUACAGCAACUGCAGCAACAUUUGAAUCAUUUUGAACUACUUCAUUUGAUGUAACUUCUUCAUUUUCUCUAUUUCAUCAUCAACCCAUAAAAACAUAUUGCAGGUCACACUUUUCAUCUGAGAAACAAAACAAAUUCUACUUACACACAAAAUUAAAUUGAAAUUAAAACAUAAAUGGUCUGGGUCUUGGUUUGGAGAGAAGAACUUGACGAACUCAUACCAUUUUUCAGUAUGCUUCGAGCCAUGGUGAAGGGGGAGUUCGAAAAUGAGAAAGGGAAGAGAAGGUAGCUUCGAUACAGAUGGUGAAGGGGACAAAUCGAAAUCGAAAAGGAAGGAAGAUUAAGAAAUUUGGGAAGGUGAAUUUUGGGAGGAAGAAGAAAUUUGGAAAAGGAGGAAUUUUGGAUUGUAAAACGUUAAUGGAGGAAGAAGAACAAGAAAUUAACGACAUGGACUAACUAAAUUUGGUAACCGGAGUAAAAUGUAGGGAUUUUAAAAACAUUUACUUAAAUGUAGAGACUAUUUAUCAAAAGAACGUAAAAUGUAGGGACUGAAAAGAUAUUUAACCUUAAAAUGAAUGAUGUAGACAAAGAUGACUCAUUUAAGCACUCAAAAUGGGGUGCUCCGUUGUGAAUGGUCUAAAAAUGAAAAACAAAAGACUUUUUAUAUAAUUAGGUUUUUAUAGAUGUGCAACAUAGACAUAAUUUUAACUCUAGAAUGAAUCAAGUUUAAUUUACAAUGAUAUUCGUUAAAAUAGGUCAUACGACACUAUAAUUAUUUUAUUUUUUUGGCAUUUAGAAUUUCAAACAUUAUAAUAAUUCAUGUUUAUUUCUCACAAAAACACCACCCAGAAAAAAAAUAUUCUCAGAAAAGAUCUUUAAGCUGUGGAAGUCGAAAAGUGAAGAAAUUGAAUAUAUAAGAGUGAACAUGAUAAUGUUAAAACGUUGAAUUCACAGACAAUUAUAGGUAGCAAUAAUGGAUCUGAAUCCUCUGCUGCUUUAUUGUCUCCUGCCAUCUCUCCUGCACAGAUCCAACGGCUGAGAGAAAAGGAAAAUAAAAGCGGUGACAUCACAGGAAAGAGAAACAAAUGGGUAAAUCAAUUUUUUUUCAUCAUCUCUCCCGCCUUAUCCUCUUGCUGUUGUUGCUGUGAGAUUUCUUUCUUGCAUCAUCUCUUUGUCAAAAUCAUUGUUAGAAAGCAUAAUCAAUCACAAUUUUACCUAUCAUGGAUGAAUUAACAACUGGGUUUUAGCAGGAUUGAUUUUUUCUUUUAAAAUAUUAAUUUUGAAUAGAAAAGCAUAACAUUCAAAAUAACAAUUCACCAUUUUUGCAUGUGAAAAGCCAUUGAAAGAGGGGAAUCACGAUUUCACCUAUGCCCAACUUGUUUCUCAUCUAUUGUUCUUUUCCUUUACUAUUUUUGUUGACAGAAAAAAAGGUUUAAAUGUUGUUUUGAUGUUUUGUCUGAAAGUGGUAAAGAUUGAUUCAAUUAAUUUGUAUUUUGGGUUACUAAAAUCAACACUUUUACCGUAAAAGAAUCCCAAGAGAACAACGGCAUCGAUGAAGAAGAAAACCCAGAAAAAUGAAUAAAUGUGAUAUUUUUCUCUCUCCUUUAAUUAUGGCAUUUUUCUCUUUUAAUCAAAAAAUCGUUGGAUUAAUCCAACGACUCAGGAUUGCGCAGGAGGGGCUGCAGAUAACAGAAGGCAGGAGAGGAUCCAGAUCCACCAAUAAUAAGGAAUGGUUAGAAGUUUUUUAUAACUCAAACUUUGCCACUUAUUCUUAAUUAUUAAUGUUAGAAUAUUAGAUUAGAUAGAUGUGUGUGUGGCUUUUUUAGAGGUGACAAAUCAUUACAAUUUUAGCUCAUGGAAUUAAGAGACAGUGUAAAGUUUUUUUUUAGAGGCGACACAUUAUUAGAAGAUUAGAUUAGAUAGUUGUGUGAUGCUUUUUCAGAGGUGACACGUCAUUACAAUUUAAACUCAUGGAAUUAAGAGAGGGUGUGAGGUUUUUUUAGAGGUGUCACAUAACCACAAUUCUAACCCGUUGAUAACUAAAGUUUAGUUUACAAAGAUAUAUAAAUGGAGAAGAGAUCGUUAGAGAGAAUGCGGCGGUCGGAGAUUGGGAGGAGAUGGCGAUGACAGAGAGAUGGAGAGAGCAGAGAUCGCGUUUAUUAGAUAGGAGACAAAAUAUAAAAAAAAAUUGCUAGAUCUAUUCUUUUCUUUUUUAUCAUUCUUUACAAAGUUAAAUUGUUUAAUAUUUCCAUGUCAUGUCAUCAGUGCUAUAAAAGGGUGUACCAAAAGAGUAAUACAUGAAAUCUUCUUUCUAUCAUUAAUGAAUGUGCCACAUCACUAAAAGAAGAGGAGGAUCAAUUUUUUUUUUUGACUUUUUAAAUGGAGGGAAAAAAAAUAACUUUUAAAAAAGGAAUCAAAAGUUAAAAAAUAUGUAAAUAGAGUGACAAAAAUUGCAUUUCAACCUUAAAAUUUGCUCUCAAAAAAGAAAAAAACUUAAAAUUUUGAUACACUAAGGCAUGGUUUUGAAAACCGCACCGGACCGGCCGAUCGAACCGGCGGUUUAAUGAGCUGACCGAUUUUUUUAAUGAACAAUUGUUUUAUAUUAAGAACCACUGCACCACUUUUGUUUGUUUUGAUAAAAUGUUGAUUCAUAUUUAUUAUAUAUUAAUUCAAAAUACCAUAUUAAUUUUCCAUUCACAUUUCAACUUGUAUUGUCUUUUUCUUUUUUUGCAUAAUUUGUAUUUUGUCAUUUUUUUGAAUAACUUGUAUAUUUACUUUCUUAAAAAAAGAAAAGAAACAUGUAUUCUCUUUUUAUUUUUUAUUCUAUCUUCAUAAUAUAUUAUACAAGUAAACGUUUCUAUUUUUUUGAAAGUGUUUCAAAUUUACUAUACUCAUAAUAUAUAUACAUAUAAGAAUUAAUUUAUGUUUGAUCAUAUAAUAAUAUCAAAGUAGGUGGACAUGAAUUUAAAUAACAAAUUUAAGAAAUUAUCUUAAUUUAUCUGAUGAUUUUUUUAAACAUUAAUGAGUGUUAUGUUUUUUUGUAUAACCCGAGUCAUCUUAUUUAAUACAAAGAUAAAAAAAAAUUAUGGAGAUCGGGUGAUAACCAAAUCAUCCAAAUAAGUAACGUUGAGGCGACAUAUCCCGUCUGAAUUCAUCGUCAGUCACUCUUGGUCUAGACAAAUCUACGAGUUUAUCUCCAAGUUUUAAAAAACAAAUCCCAUAAGUAACGUUUCUCAACUCUUGGUCUAUUAUUUUCCUCUUCGCUGUCCAUUUGUAUUGAUAUCUGAAUCUCAAAAACAUGAGCUGGUGGUGGUCCGGAGCAAUUGGAGCUGCCAAGGUAACAACACCAUCUCUCUCAUUCUCAAAUCUUCAUUUCCCUUUAAUUAUUACUAAUAAACAAUUUUAUAUUUAUCUGCAGAAGAAAUUUGAUGAAGACGAAGCACCGCCAACCUUCCAGAGCGUAGGACUAAUCAUCGGAGUAACCGGCAUCGUCGGAAACAGCCUCGCCGAAAUUCUACCUCUAGCAGACACACCAGGCGGUAGAUGGAAAGUCUACGGCGUUGCACGGCGGCCACGACCCUCCUGGAACGCCGAUCAUCCAAUCGA